rnacentral:lncRNA from 1 species
UGCGUCAUUAAUAGGCGGGAACAGUGCCCCUGUGUUGAGGCUGCAGAGGCCCUAAUUGGUUUUCCCAAGACAGAGGGGCAUAUGAGAUUGAACAAAUAUUUGUUGAAUGAAUGAACAAAGGGAACGCCUUUUAGGGAUGUUUCUGGGGGAAAGGCCUGAGGUUCUCCAGGAGGGUCUGCAGCUAGGGUCGGCCGUGGGGGCUCGCAGCCCGCGGGACCACCGGACCUGCAAGCGUCCCCCUGCCCCGCCCCCGCCUCGGCGCUCUGAGCAAUUGGACUCUGCCAGCUCUAACUCCGGCGGGACUCUGAAACUCAGGCAAGAGCCGAGGUGACUGGGUCCUUUGAAAUGGGUAGGGGACACGUAUCCGGUAGAACUAAAACUAGCGUGGGGAUUUGAAGCCAAAACUCUCAAGUUUUUACUGAAUCUUAAAACCAUCAACUUCCAAAUGUCUGCAUUUGUCUUUACACCACACAGGUCUCCCCUCUAUCAUGGCAUUUGUCGAAAAGGAGGGUAGAUGUUUGUUUUUCGCACCUUUACUUUGGGGAAUUGUAAAAUCAGGAAGAUAAUAAGAAACAAUUGUUAGAAAUCAGUAACUAAAAAUGCUUAUGAAUAUUUCCACCAAAAUAAUGACCAGUGUUUGUGAGGUCAAUAGAUUCAGGAUUACCAAAUAAAUUCUUUCAUUAUAUUUUAAGAAGUACACAGUUAAAAUAGACCAAUAGCACUUUAACAUUAAUCAGCUUAAGAUUAUGCAAUAUUAUAUAUAAUUCUCAAAUCCCUUAAGGGAGAUCAGAAACUACUGAAAUAUAAGAGAUUUUUGUCACCUCUGAAAUUGUGAAGAAUAUGUUUUUUUUCUUUCAGCUUUUCUACCAAGUAAAUAAAGCUUCCCUUUAGGCAUUUUACUAAUUUUUAGAUGUGUUUUGAAAGAAAAGUCUUAAGUUAUAUAUUAAAGUGAAAAUGUGAAUCUUUAAAUGGAUACAAGAAAUGUUAUAUGAACAUUCCAUUCUUAUCAAUUUAAAUGUUCGUAUCUUACAGAAAACAUGGAAACAACGCUAAUGAAAAUCCUGUAAAUCCUGUAAAUUACUGAUAUUUGAAAAUUCACUGCCAAUCUCCUAUGUCACUUGGUUUUUAUUUUUCUUACCUAUAAUUUAGAUUGCAGUAUAGAAGAUUUUUCCCCAUUUUCUGUGCUUUUUUAAGAAAGAAGGAGAUAAAGACUUGUCUAUGAAAUUCGUGCCUUUUUAAACAAUAGUCAGUCUGUAAGCAAUAGAUGGAAAGAAUCUUUAUCCUUUUGAUGAUUUAUACUUGGGCACAUAACUUUUUGAGGGACGAGGAAAAUACCUACUUGACACUUACUAACUCAUUCCAUUUCACAUAAAAUUUCAUUGAUGUCAGUGGCAGUGAUAUUUUAUACAUUGAGCGAUAAGAUAUGGAACAUAAACAUUUUGAACAAAAUAAUUAUUACAUAUUUAAAGGGUGCUGUGAUGGUCCUGAAGUUAGACAGCAUCCUUCCUUCCUGAAGAAAACCACACAAGCCAUUUUAAAUGUCUCCAAAUUAAGAACUUCUUUUGUAUCCCCAUACCUCUAAAAAUAGAACUGAAACCAAUGAUAAAAUCCAAGCUCUUGCUUUGUGACUCAUCCAGGAUAAACCCAGUUACUUGUUUUGUUGCAGGCAAGUGACAGCAAAUCCAGAAUAUGAAGUGCCUACUUAUUUUUAAUUUAGGGUAUAAGUAAACUAUAAUAACAAGAAAUAUUUUCAAUAGUAAAGACAUUAAAUUUAAAAAAUAAAUCAUGACAUCCUUCAAAUAUGAAUGACUACAUUAACUUAAAAUCUUCAACUUGAAAAAUUUGUUUUCACUGGGUCCAAGAAAUCAGUGCUUUAAGGAUAGAAAACAGGAAGUCAAAAAAUGCAGUAUUGGUCAGGCACGUGGCUUACUCCUGUAAUCCCAACACUUUGGAAGGCCAAGGCGAGGCCAAUCGUUUGAGUCCAGAAGUUCAAGACCAGCUUAGACAAUAUGAUGAAACUCUGUCUGUACAAAAAAAUACAAAAAAUUAGUUGGGCAUGGUGGCCAGCGCCUCCAGUCCCAGCUACUUGGGAGGCUGAGAUGGGAGGAUCACCUGAGCCCAGGAGGUUGAGGUUACAGUGUGCCACUGCACUGCAGCCUGGGUGACAGAGUGAGACCUGUCUCCAAAAAAAAAAGCACUAUUUACAUUUGUACAUUUUAUUUAGGCUUGUAAAUAUGUAAGUUAAAUAAUCAGGAAUGAUUAUCUAAAUAAUUAAAUGUACUUCAGCUUUCUCCAUGUAUACUAUUUAGAGGUUUAACUGCCCAUUUUGUGUUUAAUCAAAAUCAUGAUUUUCCCCCACCAGAGCUCAAGGCUUCAACACAAAACAAAGAAUAUGUAAAUAAGCUUCAGCAUAAUUAUAAUAACAAUAUGGCCAACUCAGUUAUUUUAGAUUAUUAAUUCUCUAUUUACUAUAAUCCUUGUUGCUUCAUGUUAACACUUCUCUCAUAAGCCAUGGAUAGGAAGGAAGUAAAGAUGAAAUUCAAUGAAACUGAAGUUAAUUAGAUUUCCUACUUGAUAACAAUUGAAAAAAAUAUUUGCAUAAAGAAUGGCAGUAUUGGCCAGGCACAGUGGUUCAUGCCUGUAAUCCUAGCACUUUGGGAGGCUAAGUCAGGAGGAUUGCUUGAGCCCAGGAAUUUGAGACCAACCUGGGCAACAUAGCUAAACCUUGUCUCUACACAAAAUUUAAAAAUUAGCUAGGUGUAGCGGGUACAUCUGUGGUCCCAGCUACUUGAGAAGCGUGCGGUAGGAUUGCUUGAGCCCUGGAAAUCGAGGCUGCAGUGAGCCAUGUUCAUGCCACUGCACUCCAGGCAACAGAGUGAGACUCUGCCAGAAAGAAAAGAAAAGAAAAAAGAGAAGAGAAGAGAAGAGAGAAAAGAAGAAAGAAAGAGAAAGAAAGAAAGGAUUACUUGUGUCAUACAACUAGUAUUUGUGCAGUGUUCUUAAUUUCUCUAACCAUUUCUUCAUCAGAUAAAUGGUAAUAACGUAACCUACCUCAUGAAUUUGUGAGAAUUAAAUGAAAUAAUGUGCAAAAAAGUAUUUUACACAGUGCCUGGUGCAUAGUAAAUGCUCAAUAAAUAUCAGCUUCGAUUAUUAGAAAUCAAAAGGUAAACAUGUUUUAGCUUAUUUUUCACUUAUGGUUAUAUGUAUUUCCCAUUGACAAGAAAAUUUAAACAUAGAAUCAAUUUCAGAAAAUGUCAUCCAUAGCUUCUAAAUAUAAUUUCCAUUAAGACUUGAUCUUGUAUUACUAUACAAUAAUAGAAAUACUAAUGGGAAGAUUUGACCUGCUCCAUCAUAAUUUGUAAAACAUGCAAUUUUUAUGAAGAAAAAACUUAGGAAAAAUAUGCUUCAAGUGAUUUCAGAGGCUUAGUGUCUACGCAGCCUCAAAUCAAACAGAAUUUGUUAAAUUUUCAUCACAGUUCACCAACUGUGAUGUGCUGAGCUUUAUGGUAGCAAAAGCAUUUAAUAGCUUUAAAUCAUUGAGUAAAAAUUAUCUGCAUGAAGAGUUCUGUCUGCACAUUCAAUAAUUUCAGUGAUUCCACCUUUCUGAGUAGGUAAAUUGAUAAUAGCCACAGUGAGAAUAUUAUAGCUGAGUUGGCUUGUAGCAUGACUACCAACCAGCUAUCAAAUCCUGUGCAGACUCCUUUAAAAUAACGAUCCUGAAUUCAUACUUUUUAUUACAAAUAAGUUCACCAUUUGUAGCAUUUUGAGAUGGCCAAAGAAACUGGAUUUCUGUAUUGCAACCACUCCACAGCAAGAAACAUUUCUUUUUUUUUCUUUGAGACGGUCUUGCUCUGUCACCCAGGCUGGAGUGCAGUGGUGCCAUCUUGGUUCACUGCAACCUCUGCCUCUGGGUUCUAGUGAUUAUCAUGCCU